AUAUUGGACAAUAGGGUCAACCCUGAUCCAGCCAUGCCGUGUGUGUGAAGAUGGUGUUCGGAUUGUAAAGUACUUUAAGUUGGGAGGUAGGGCUUUAGGCUAAUACCCUGAAGUUUUGACGUUACCAACAUAUUAAGUUCCGGCCAUCUUGUUGCUUGCAGCCGCGGUAAUACAGAGGGUGCAAGCGUUCAUCGGAAUUACUGGGCGUAAAGCACGCGUAGGUGGUUCAGUAAGAUGGGUGUGAAAUCCCCGGGCUUAACCUGGGAACUGCUUUCAUAACUGCUGAGCUAGAGUACGGUAGAGGGUAGUGGAAUUUCCUGUGUAGCGGUGAAAUGCGUAGAUAUAGGAAGGAACACCAGUGGCGAAGGCGACUACCUGGACUGAUACUGACACUGAGGUGCGAAAGCGUGGGGAGCAAAC
rnacentral:rRNA from 1 species